AGUGCCUACAGGAGAACGCGCAAAAAAAGAAAAAGAGACCGAGGACACGGUGAAGAAGGGAUUCCUGGGACCACUCCAGCUGCUCGGUAAAUAGCUUCAGCCAAGGCGCCCCCGCUGGUCGGCGGUCGAUUCAGAAGACGUUUCUGUGGAUGAGGCCAACAACAUGCAGGACAUUUGAACUUCUUCAAGGUGAACGACCAACAUCAGAAGAACGAUUCCACGCAUGUUUCGAUGAGCAAAGACCGCCUCCGCGACGUUACCAAUCGCCAUCCUGAUCUUCAUCGACCUUAUCGGUUGAAACUUGUCCCGUUUCCGUGGGACAGUCCGCGGGACUUCUGAACCUUAUGACAGCUGGGAAGCCUCACGGCCGAGCUGCGAGAAAAACGCGCCACAACAGAUCGUUCAACCAGUGCUGGCCCCUCUGCCAGCUGACGACCCGGACAGUUCCAGCGGAAAUGAACUUAGCUAUCUUGAGACUCUAGUGGCGGUCACAGUCGAAAUGGAACGUGAGAUGUUGAGAUUAAAAAAGUAAAAAUAAAAAUAGUUGAAAAAUGAAACUCGAAUAAAAUUGAACUCUAAGCGAGACUCAAAGGU
rnacentral:lncRNA from 1 species